rnacentral:rRNA from 1 species
ACGAACGCUGGCGGCGUGCCUAAUACAUGCAAGUCGAGCGGACUAAUUAAGAGCUUGCUCUUAUGAGGUUAGCGGCGGACGGGUGAGUAACACGUGGGCAACCUGCCCUGUAGAUUGGGAUAACUCCGGGAAACCGGGGCUAAUACCGGAUAAUCCUGACUCUCUCCUGAGAGUCAGUUGAAAGAUGGUUUCGGCUAUCACUUACGGAUGAGCCCGCGGCGCAUUAGCUAGUUGGUAGGGUAAUGGCCUACCAAGGCGACGAUGCGUAGCCGACCUGAGAGGGUGAUCGGCCACACUGGGACUGAGACACGGCCCAGACUCCUACGGGAGGCAGCAGUAGGGAAUCUUCCACAAUGGACGAAAGUCUGAUGGAGCAACGCCGCGUGAGUGAAGAAGGUUUUCGGAUCGUAAAACUCUGUUGUAAGGGAAGAACACGUACGAGAGUAACUGCUCGUACCUUGACGGUACCUUAUUAGAAAGCCACGGCUAACUACGUG